rnacentral:rRNA from 1 species
CCAAUAGCGUAUAUUAAAGUUGUUGCAGUUAAAAAGCUCGUAGUUGAAUUUCGGGGUCAGUAGGUUGGUCGUGCCACUGGUAUGUACUGGUCUCACUGAUUCCUCCUUCCUGAUGAGCUGUAAUGCCAUUAAUCUGGUGUUGCAGGGAAUCUGGACUGUUACUUUGAAAAAAUUAGAGUGUUUAAAGCAGGCUAGCGCUUGAAUACAUUAGCAUGGAAUAAUGAAAUAGGACGUUCGAUCCUAUUUUGUUGGUUUCUAGGAUUGACGUAAUGAUUAAUAGGGAUAGUUGGGGGCAUUAGUAUUCAAUUGUCAGAGGUGAAAUUCUUGGAUUUAUUGAAGACUAACUACUGCGAAAGCAUUUGCCAAGGAUGUUUUCAUUAAUCAAGAACGAAAGUUAGGGGAUCGAAGACGAUCAGAUACCGUCGUAGUCUUAACCAUAAACUAUGCCGACUAGGGAUCGGAUGAUGUUAAUUUUUUAAUGACUCAUUCGGCGCCUUACG